AUUGAACGCUGGCGGCAGGCCUAACACAUGCAAGUCGAACGAGUGGCGGACGGGUGUGUACUGUCUGGGAAACUGCCCGAUGGAGGGGGAUAACUACUGGAAACGGUAGCUAAUACCGCAUACCAUCGGAUGUGCCCAGUUGGGAUUAGCUAGUCGGUGGGGUAACGGCUCACAUAGGCGACGAUCCCUAGCUGGUCUGAGAGGAUGACCAGCCACACUGGAAGUGAGACACGGUCCAGGCUCCUGCGGGAGGCAGCAGUGGGGAAUAUUGAACAAUGGGCGCAAGCCUGAUGCAGCCAUGCCGCGUGUAUGAAGAAGGCCUUCGGGUUGUAAAGUACUUUCAGCGGGGAGGCGUUACCCGCAGAAGAAGCACCGGCUAACUCCGUGCCAGCAGCCGCGGUAAUAC
rnacentral:rRNA from 1 species